CCUACGGGUGGCAGCAGUGAGGAAUAUUGGUCAAUGGGCGCGAGCCUGAACCAGCCAAGUCGCGUGAAGGAUGAAGGCCCUAUGGAUCGUAAACUUCUUUUAUAAGGGAAUAAAGUGUGGGACGUGUCCUAUUUUGUAUGUACCCUAUGAAUAAGGAUCGGCUAACUCCGUGCCAGCAGCCGCGGUAAUACGGAGGAUCCGAGCGUUAUCCGGAUUGAUUGGGUUUAAAGGGUGCGUAGGUGGCCUUUUAAGUCAGCGGUGAAAGUCUGGGGCUCAACCCUAGAAUUGCAGUUGAAACUGGGGGUCUUGAGUAUUGUAGAGGCAGGCGGAAUGCGGGGUGUAGCGGUGAAAUGCUUAGAUAUAACGAAGAACCCCGAUUGCGAAGGCAGCCUGC
rnacentral:rRNA from 1 species